GAUGAACGCUGGCGGCAUGCCUAAGACAUGCAAGUCGAACGAGAUGGCCCAGUGAAGGUUGCGUGCUUGCACAAGACUGAAUCUGGAUCACCAUCUAGUGGCAGACGGGUGAGUAACACGUGGGUGACCUACCUUUUCGUUGGGGAUAACAGUUGGAAACGAUUGCUAAUACCGAAUAAAAUAUAAGAGCCAAUUUUAUAUUGAAAGGAGCCUUUAAAGCUUCGCGAUUAGAUGGGCCUGCGGCGUAUUAACUUGUUGGUGAGGUAACGGCUCACCAAGGUAACGAUGCGUAGCCGAACUGAGAGGUUGAUCGGCCACACUGGGACUGAGACACGGCCCAGACUCCUACGGGAGACAGCAGUUAGGAAUAUUCGUCAAUGGGGGAAACCCUGAACGAGCAAUGCCGCGUGAGUGAUGACGGUCCUUUGGAUUGUAAAACUCUGUUGUAUGGAAAAAAAUGACUAGGUUAGGAAAUGAACCUAGUGUGAUGGUAC
rnacentral:rRNA from 1 species